UUUCCCAGAAGGAGCCUGUGCUUGUAAAUUGCAUGUGGUUGCAUGCUGAAUUCUGCAUCCCAAUGUAAAAGACGGAGAUCACCAAGGUCAGCCCUGAUUUGCAGCCUUUGCUCUUUCCUGUCCGUGCUGGUUCAGGAAAACAUUCAUCAUCGCGGUGACUUCCUUGUAACCUUUCCAAGUUCUUCACGUUCCUCAUUUGUUCAGACUGGACAGUUCUCUGGUGAGAGUCUGGCCAGACAUCUUGUCUCUUUAACCACCCAAUGAGGUGUAUCACCACCGGUUUCCUCCUUGCCUUCAGCCCUCUUAGUUGCUCACAAGACACACGUGGAUAGGCAGCUGAUACUUAAAAACUCUGAUCUGGGAUUCUUUCCAGAAAUGCCUACAGCGGUCAGUGUGUAGAAAUCAGCAUACAUUGAACAGGAAGCGAUGAGGUGGGGGCUGUAGCAGUGGCCUCUGAAAGGACUGAGUUGAGAUCCAGGAUUGGCCUCUCAGUGACUUGUUUCCUUUUCCAUGACUGCUUCCAGAUUCCUGGGAUGUGCUGCCCAGAUUCCUCCUCGGGCUGGAAGGAUUUCUUCUCUCAGCUGCUGGAAGUGUUAUCCACCAGAAGAGAAGUUUCUACAUCAUUGGAUGUGAAUGAGGAACGUGCAUGGAGCCUUUGAUGAGGAAAGACGCUUGCUGAGAUCACAGCUGACCUGGGAAGGAGAAGGCGAGAAAUAAUCACAAGAUUUGACCUACUGGCUCACACUACACCUGCCCAGCCACAUCGGAAGACAGCCUUCCCCUGGAUUUCCCAAUUUGUGAGCCAAUAUGUUUACUCUUAGGCUAGUUGACUUCAAGUUCCCCAUCUGUAAAAUGGCAUUAAUGAUACUGCAGCCUACCUUAUGGGGAUGUUUUAGAGAAUAAACCAUCAAUGCAUUCAGC
rnacentral:lncRNA from 1 species